rnacentral:rRNA from 1 species
AAUCAACGCUGGCGGCGUGCCUAACACAUGCAAGUCGCACGAGAAAGGGCAGCAAUGCCUGAGUACAGUGGCGCACGGGUGAGUAACACGUGAAUGAUCUACCUCCGAGUGGGGAAUAACUGAGAGAAAUCUUAGCUAAUACCGCAUAACACUUACGAGUCAAAGCAGCAAUGCGCUUGGAGAGGAGUUCGCGGCAGAUUAGUUAGNGGCGGGGUAAUGGCCCACCAAGACGAUGAUCUGUAUCCGGCCUGAGAGGGCGCACGGACACACUGGAACUGAAACACGGUCCAGACUCCUACGGGAGGCAGCAGUGGGGAAUUUUGCGCAAUGGGGGAAACCCUGACGCAGCAACGCCGCGUGGAGGAUGAAAUCCCUGGGAUGUAAACUCCUUUCGAUCGGGAAGAUAAUGACGGUACCGAGAGAAGAAGCCCGGCUAACUUCGU